rnacentral:rRNA from 1 species
UACAGAGGUCCCAAGCGUUGGUCGGAUUCACUGGGCGUAAAGGGUGCGUAGGUGGCCGGGUAAGUCUGAUGUGAAAUCUCCGAGCUCAACUCGGAAAUGGCAUUGGAAACUAUCCGGCUGGAGGAGUGGAGGGGGGACUGGAAUACUUGGUGUAGCAGUGAAAUGCGUAGAUAUCAAGUGGAACACCAGUGGCGAAGGCGAGUCCCUGGACACUUCCUGACACUGAGGCACGAAAGCUAGGGGAGCAAACAGG